rnacentral:rRNA from 1 species
UUAUACAAUAAAUGUUAAUUAAUAUUUUGGUUUAUUAAAGUUAAAAUUUUUUAGGGUUUAUAUGAUUUAUUUUUAGGUGAAAUUUAAAUAUUUAUUAAUCUUUUUUUGAUUCUUUUAAAAUCAAAGUUUAGACUAGGAUUAGAUACCCUAUUAUUUUGUUUGUAAAUUUUCCUGGGUAGUAUUAGUUAUUUUCUUUAAACCUAAAGAAUUUGGCGGUAUUUUAGUCCUUUUAGAGGAACCUGUCCCGUAAUCGAUAGUCCUCGUUUUAUCUUUCUUAUUUUUGUGUUCAGUAUAUAUACCGCCGUUAUAGGUUUAUUUUUUUAGAUUAUAAUUUACUUAAUAGAUUAUUUUCUUUUAUUUC